rnacentral:rRNA from 1 species
CCUACGGGGGGCAGCAGUGAGGAAUCUUGGGCAAUGGGCGGGAGCCUGAACCAGCCAAGCCGCGUGAGGGAAGAAGGUACAGCGUAUCGUAAACCUCUUUUGUCAGGGAACAAAGGCGGGGACUAGUCCCCGGAUGAGGGUACCUGAAGAAAAAGCAUCGGCUAACUCCGUGCCAGCAGCCGCGGUAAUACGGGGGAUGCGAGCGUUAUCCGGAUUUAUUGGGUUUAAGGGGUGCGCAGGCGGCCUGUUAAGUCAGCGGUAAAAGCCCGGGGCUCAACCCCGGCGAGCCGUGGAAACUGGCGGGCUGGAGUUGGAGAGAAGUACGCGGAAUGCGAGGUGUAGCGGUGAAAUGCGUAGAUAUAUGGAAGAACACCGAUGGCGAAGGCAGCUUACUAAUCUGUGACUGACAUUGAUGCUCGAAAGUGUGGGUAUCAAACAGGAUUAGAUACCCUUGUAGUC